rnacentral:rRNA from 1 species
UACAGAGGUGGCAAGCGUUGUUCGGAAUUACUGGGCGUAAAGGGCGAGUAGGUGGCCAUCCUAAGUCAGACGUGAAAUCCCCCCGGCUUAACCUGGGAACUGCGUCUGAUACUGGACGGCUAGAGUUUGGGAGAGGGAUGCAGAAUUCCAGGUGUAGCGGUGAAAUGCGUAGAUAUGCGGAGGAACACCGAUGGCGAAGGCAAUCCCCUGGCCUGCACUGACGCUCAUGCACGAAAGCGUGGGGAGC